UCAUCUUAUUGGUUCCUCACAAGAGCGCGAAGAGGUGGGAAUUUACAGGUGGGAAGACUGGGCUCAGAUUAUGUACUUCCAAAGAAUGAAAAAAGUGGAAAAUGGUGGAAUUUAAGCAGGUCAGUCUGAAUUCCAGCAUCAGGAUGCACUCUUUUGACACAAGUGCAGCUGGCUAACCACCACCAAUCUCACGCAAACUCUUCAUUCUCUCUGCGUCAGACGCAAACCUUCCUGCACUCUCCACUCCCCAGACAAUUUUGGGCUUCCCUGGUCCUGAUCCAAUCUCCAAUGGAUCCCCUCACAAACCAAACUUCUCAUUCUGCCCUCCAGGGUCCACAAUGCUUGGAACAAUAGCCCUAACACAUUCCCUCCCCUUUCGCAGAGGUGACAAUUCAGGGGCAGCAGCAACAGCCUC
rnacentral:lncRNA from 10 species